rnacentral:rRNA from 1 species
AGUGAACGCUGGCGGUAGGCCUAACACAUGCAAGUCGAACGGCAGCACAGUAAGAGCUUGCUCUUACGGGUGGCGAGUGGCGGACGGGUGAGGAAUACAUCGGAAUCUACUUUUUCGUGGGGGAUAACGUAGGGAAACUUACGCUAAUACCGCAUACGACCUACGGGUGAAAGCAGGGGAUCUUCGGACCUUGCGCGAUUGAAUGAGCUGAUGUCGGAUUAGCUAGUUGGCGGGGUAAAGGCCCACCAAGGCGACGAUCCGUAGCUGGUCUGAGAGGAUGAUCAGCCACACUGGAACUGAGACACGGUCCAGACUCCUACGGGAGGCAGCAGUGGGGAAUAUUGGACAAUGGGCGCAAGCCUGAUCCAGCCAUACCGCGUGGGUGAAGAAGGCCUUCGGGUUGUAAAGCCCUUUUGUUGGGAAGGAAAAGCAGCAGGUUAAUACCCCGCUGUUCUGACGGUACCCAAAGAAUAAGCACCGGCUAACUUCGUG